AUUUUGUUCAAUUUUAUCAUUGCUAGAAAUGAUGAGUUCCCGCAUAGAUUCUUUCCAAUGUCAGGAAACAGCUUUGCUUGAAUUUCACUGAGGAUCUAUUCUUUAUCCACGGCGCCUCGACUUCAAGCAAUUUCUAUCACGAUAUCAGCAGGUCUUGUUCGUCCUCUUGAAGUGCUCUAUAAUCUCGGUUUGCGAAGUCAACGUUCGUCUGUUUUGUGCAGUUUGUUCCUUUACUGCCGACGUUUAUGAAUAGCUGGCCUCUUCAAUAGAGAAAAAGGAAAGUGUGUGAAUUAGCAUAUAAAUAAAAAUUAUUAUCAAAAAUA